AUACAAGAGUCGAAACUGGCGCUUCACACACUGACAAGUUGCCAAUGACUACAAACAGGAGGAGAGGGAUUUCGUACAGCACCUAAUCAUAUUCUGAAAAUGUGAUAGUUUGCGAUGUGCCACAGUGAUCAGAAACACAAGGGAGUGAAGGCUUAUAUCUUUAUAUGUCACCCAAGUGUGUGGUUUUACUUAUAUUGAGAUCAUAUCAACAAUAGAAGAAACAGAUGUUGAUGAAACGAAAACCGAAAAGAGUGAAUGAAAUCCGGACAUUUGGUCAGCAAGUGCUUGAAUUCUUCUUCGGAAAUACCACCACCGUCCAGGUAGUAGAUUUUCCCUUCCAGUAAGACGGUCCACAACGCACUCCAGAUCUUCUCCAUCUAAGAUAAGGUCUUCGUUAUAAUCUGUGGGAAAGCAGAUAAGGUCAAGUGAUUAAACACAUCGAAGGGGGUGGAUUUUUGAAGGUAUAGGAGACAGAAAAUGGGAAUAAUGUAGGUAACAGAAAACGGGAGGGUGGUUAAAGAAAACAGGAAUGAGGGAGAGACUGAUCUAUCUGACCCUCC